CAUGCUGAAAACACCGGUCCUCGUCCAAUCACCAAAGUUAAGCUUCAUCGGGUGUGGUCAGUACUUGGGAGAGUGACCACCUGGGGACACCGCGUGUCGUUA
rnacentral:rRNA from 1 species